CACACAGACACACACCCCUAACAGCCAGCAGGGCCCUUGGACUCUGAGCCCUGACCCGAAGCUUGCCCUCCACAGGGAAUUCCACCCCCCCACCCCAACCCAAUCUGCCGGGCUGCCGGUUGAAAGCGCUGGGGAUGAUGGGGUGGGAUUGUUGGGGCAUAGACCAGGGUAUUUUCCUCCACCUGAGACCAGGUGAUGUAGAACGCAGAGAAAGGGCAGAACAAUGGUGCUCAGAGCUUCAGCGACGCCUCCAGGAGCUGAUUGGCUGUAAGCCGGGAACUGGGAACAAACGGAUGAAGGAAAGUUACGGGAAACACCGGAGCUGCUCUCCACGCUGAUGCUCUGCAGAGACGUUCAUUCAUCCGGAUGCAAACCCACGACAUGGUGCUAAGUGUCGGACAGAUCCGGUGACGGGAGGAGAUCUGGGAAAGGUGGCAGUCGGAACAUCCGAUCCUGCUUCCUGACAGCGUUCCAAGCAUCGCAGUGUCAUCUGCAUGAGAACUAUGCACGGACUUUGGUUCGAUCUGCGUGGUGAGACAGUUCUGAUCCUCCCUUUCCAGAUCCCAGCUUCUCCGGACCGGACAUGUGAAAAACCAACCAGCAGAUUCCAGAAUAUCCUAAACGAUCUAAUCCGUGCCUGUGAAACUGUGUUAUAUAACUUUCUGACCACCAGUAGCCUUUGCUGUCCGUCAGGCCCUCAGAUUACCAGAUUAUAGCUAAUGUUCAAUAAUCACAAGAUAUAACUGCAUGCUAUCCCAUAAUCGUCUAAAAAGCUGUUACCCAGGCGACCAGUGAGAAAAUGAAAAGGCAGACGUAGUCUUUCUCUUUUGUUUGAUCUCCAUGCCCUUCAUCCCUCCUCUUCAUCACUUCAUCCUGACUGGAAACAGCUGUUCUGACCAUGAUCACCCCCCGUUUGAAUCCAACAAUCUCCAGACAACCUCCUGCCCCCCCCCCCCCUCUCAAAAAAUUGACCAGCAGGCUUAGAAAUAUCCAUGACAACAUACCCCCCCCCCCCCCCCCCCCCCCAUUUUCCUGCAGGAGUCUGGAUCGAUGACCUUGGCCUUUUUCUGCAGCACUCAGCACAAUCUGGAAUCCCCCCCCCCCCCCCCCCAACAAACACACCUUCUCCUGCAGACCCUUCCCCCCCACCCAGGACUUCAAACAAGCCGCCUCCUCCAGGAUCAGACAGGUAGCAGCACCUGGGAGACCCCCCAGUCCAGGCCAGCCGGGUCGAUCGGUGCUCCAGCAGCAGCCUGUCGAUGCUGCUCGGCUCUUUGAAACUAAACCGUUUCUUCCACUUCAAUCUCAGAAACUUCACAGCAACAAACUUGAUGAAUCGACCCUUUUCCUGGAGGACAAAACUGGAAUCUGGAAUUUCCCUCGAAACGCCGAGAACCUCUGUUCUGGAACAAAUUUCUCUUCCAAUGUUCCAAAUAUCUGAACCUGAAGAGCCAAAUUCCUCACGUCUGAGCGAAAUAUAACAACUAAUCACGAGUUAACGAGUUCAGAUCAGAGAUUAUUUUAGUCAACCUUUAUUUAAACAGACAAGACAGAUUAAGAACAAAUUCUUCUUUCCAGCCUGGUGAGAGGAGGAAGAGAAAAAGUGUAAAAUGAAAAAUACAAAUUCAGAAAUGUACAAAAAAGACCCAGGGACGGGCCAGCACAUCAUUAUUAAUGAUUAAUUAAUAACAAAUAAGACUUUAUUCAAUGUUUAUUAAUGUCAGCAUUACAUGUUUUAAUAACUGAAAUAAAUGUAUAAUAGAGGAUUAUUUAUUAUGUUUCUACAUUUGAUUUGUGUUUUAUUAACUAAUGUUCACAACAUUUAUUCUAACAGGAAGUUUUCAUCUCGUGGUCGGUGGCCCUGAAUUCCACAGAAAUUAGUCAAAUGUCCAAUUUUCAGCACAGAAAAAUGGUUUUAUAAAAGAAAUCAAUCCUGAAAGUUUCUGAAAAAAUCAUUAAAAGCUUCUGUCAUUAUUUUUAGAUCAGUUUGAUUCUCCUCCGAGUUCACAUUUAUUCACUAGAAUUUACAUUAAUUAGUUGUAAAUCGCAUUAAUUCAAGCUAAUUUCCCUUUAUUUGAAUCAUAUUUAUUCAUGUUAAUUAACAACUUUAAUUCUUUAAUUAAGUCUCGUUAACUCAUUAAUUCACAGCAAUUCAUAAUAAUUCACAAAUAUGAAUUAAAAUCAAUGAAUGUUAAUUAACUUUAACAUUAAUUUACGUUGAGCAAUAAAAAAAGUCAUUUUCAACAAAUUUCUGUUUGACUGAAUUUUUUAUGAGUUUUUACUAUUUUUAGGAAUUUCAUACUUUUCAGCUCCAUUCAGGAAAAUAAAGAAACUUUCCACCUUAAAAACCACUUCCUGUCCGCGCGGACCAGGCCCCGCCCACUACGAAUAACCUGUCUGUGAUUGGUGGAUUCAGAUUUAUUCAGGUGACAGAUUGUUUAUAAAACUUGUAAACAUUCAAACAACAAACUCACCAGCUGGUGUGUUAAGAAAAGCAAACGAUCGAUCAGGUUGAUCCGAUCGAUCAGGUUGAAUCGAUCGAUCAGGUUGACCAGAAUCUCUCGCAACGUUUCCUGGAUCCUCUGGAGGUGAUGCUAAGUGCAGCUAAGCCAUGGCAACCUGGAGGAAGGAUAGCGUUAGCCGCUAGUGGCCUGAGCCCCACAUUCAUUUCCCAUCAUCCCGUUUGAACUGCCCCAAUCAGCAUGGUAACCAGACCUCACCCCCCACCCACCCUCCCACCCACGCCUCACUCAGAACUGAUGAAACCUUGUGCCUCGACAACUCUUUUAUGAGCGCUGCAGCGUUUUGUGCCGAGCCGGGCCCAUGCCCUGGUGUCUCCAGUGGUUCAGUGGAACCAGUUUCCAUUAGUGGGCCAUCCUGUGUGUUCUGGAGCCGUCUCCAUUGUCCUGCUUUGGUUUCUGUAUCAGUUUACCCUUUUCUCUCUGCCCAUUAGAGACUCCAUUUUCACGCAGACUCAGUUUACUGGAAGUAUGAUGUGCAUUUCCUAUGCAACGAUUAAAAUAAAGACACUAACGCUC